UACGUAGGGUGCAAGCGUUAAUCGGAAUUACUGGGCGUAAAGCGUGCGCAGGCGGUGAUGUAAGACAGUUGUGAAAUCCCCGGGCUCAACCUGGGAACUGCAUCUGUGACUGCAUCGCUGGAGUGCGGCAGAGGGGGAUGGAAUUCCGCGUGUAGCAGUGAAAUGCGUAGAUAUGCGCGAGACACCGAUGGCGAAGGCAAUCCCCCUGGGCCUGCACUGACGCUCAUGCACGAAAGCGUGGGGAGCAAACAGG
rnacentral:rRNA from 1 species